UACGUAGGUGGCAAGCGUUGUCCGGAAUUAUUGGGCGUAAAGCGCGCGCAGGUGGUUCCUUAAGUCUGAUGUGAAAGCCCACGGCUCAACCGUGGAGGGUCAUUGGAAACUGGGGAACUUGAGUGCAGAAGAGGAAAGUGGAAUUCCAAGUGUAGCGGUGAAAUGCGUAGAGAUUUGGAGGAACACCAGUGGCGAAGGCGACUUUCUGGUCUGUAACUGACACUGAGGCGCGAAAAGCGUGGGGAGCAAACAGG
rnacentral:rRNA from 1 species